rnacentral:lncRNA from 1 species
UUCACCUCCUCUCAGGUCCUCAGUGUGCUUGAUCCAGAUGUCUGCCUUAUACAAUAGCCUCCUGGGGACAUUCCACUAUGGGACAUCUGGAUACGACCUACUUGAUUUGCUCCAUUGACCCUCACCCCACAUGGACUGUGCAGAUAUGCCACAGCGACCACCUCUCGGUCACAGUAUGACUCCAUGGAACUUAUUCUGGCUUGCUCUAAACCCACCAAUCAGAACUCCCCAAGGAAAAACUGCUUGGGUAAUGCCCCGGACCCCAAUAAAGGCCCACAGGUCUGCUCCCACCACUACUGGCUGAGCUCUCAUGUCCAGAUGGCCCCCACCUUCUGCUUGGCCCUGGGAGGCACGCUGCCCUUUUCUGUCUGGAAUCUGUAAGUAAGGAAACUGCUUCCGUUGCUUCCCGGGUUUUCUUGAGCAGCCUCUGCUGCAUCUGACCUGACUGGCACAUUUGAACCUAGCUUCUCUCCAGGUCAGUGCUCCCCUAGAGUGUGGCUCGCUCGGUCGGAAUAAGCUGGACACAAAUCAGACAAGAGCCACAAGGGCGUCUGCCAGCAUAAACAAGUUUCCCGGAAGAGGGAUCCCUCAUCACAAGUCAGACGCUUAGGUGUCAGGCCGACUGCCAGGACAAAGAAGAGCCUAGAAAAGGGACAUUGGGAACCUCCACUUCUUCUGGAACCCCUCUGUUUUAAAGGUGCUCUACGGAGAAAGUCUCAAGACCAAAUUAGAGGAAAACACAGCAGAGGGCCAGAGAGUCCAUUAUGCAGUUUAUACAAUCAGCUUCCAGAGACGCAGAGCAGGUGGAACUUGAGGGGCAAAUGCAGAAUAAGCAGGGCACUUACCAAGAGUCCUUGUUGUGUAUUCGUAAACCUGUUUAUAACACCUGCCCUGUAGAUACUACUGUUAUUAGGUGUUUUAUGAAUCCACAAAACUAAAGUACAAAACAAAGAGUCCUUGCUCCUAACUAAACAAAGUGAAUGCUUGACUGAAUAGCACCAACAAUAUUAGUAGACCAAUGUUCGUGAUUGUUGCGAGCCAGGUAUUGCUUUCAGCACUUUACAUCUAUUGUAUUAGUUUCCUGUUGCUGCUGUAACAAAUUCUCAUAAAUUUAGUUGCCUAAAAGAAAACAAAUUUUUUAUCUUACUGUUCUGAAGGUAAAAAAUUCAAAAUAAGGACUUAUAAGGACUAAAAAAUCUUAUAAGUACUAAAAUUAAGGUGUUAGCAGGGCUGCAUUCCUUCAGGAGGCCACCGAGGAGAAUGUUUCUUGCCUUUUCCAUAUUCUAGAGGCUGCCCACCUCCCACGGCACCUGUCUCUUUCCAGAAAUUGCCUUUCCAACCUCUGCUUCAUCCUACGUCCUUCUUGAUUGUCACUCUCCUGCUUCCCUCUUUCACUUAAAAGAAUUCUUGUGACAACACCUGAAAAAUACACCUAUGAUACUGCACCUUGUAAUCUCUUAUCUCCAAAUAUUAACUAAUCAAACCUGCAAAUUCUGUUUUUCAGGUAAGGUGACACAGUCACAGCUUCCAAGACUACUGUAUGCAUUUCCUAAAAACAAGGACAUUCUCCUAUGUAACUACAAUCUAUCUAUCAAAAUAGUAAACGCAUGUUGGAGCUACUACCAUCUAAUCUUCAGAUCCCAUUCAACCUUUAACCAUUGGCCCCAAUUUGCCUUUUGUAGUGAAAGAAUCCAGUUCCAAAUCAUAGAUUGUCAUUAGGUGUCACUUCUCUUUAGUCUACUUCUGUCCAGAAGAGGUCCUCCAUCUCUUCUUGACUUCCAUGACCUGGACCAUUUUGAUAACUGAUAGCUAGUUAUUUUGUAGAAUAUCCCUUAAUUUGAAUUUGUCUUCUGUUUCCUCGUUCUUUUAUUCAAAAAUUUCAUACAAGCAAAGUGAUGCUGUGAUCCUUUCCAUGCAUUUUGUCAGGUGUCACAUAAUUUUUAUUUAUCUCAUGAUAAGUAAAUAUUCAACUCAGAUCACUUCAUUAAGGUGGAAUCACAAAAACUUUUU